rnacentral:rRNA from 1 species
GUAGUCCACGCUGUAAACGAUGAGUACUAGACUAAGCGGGAUUUGACCCCUGCUGAGUCGGAGCUAACGCAAUAAGUACUCCGCCUGGGAAGUACGGUCGCAAGACUAAAACUCAAAGGAAUUGACGGGGGCCCGCACAAGCGGUGGAUCAUGUGGUUUAAUUCGAAGCAACGCGCAGAACCUUACCUAGGUUUGACAUCCUCUGACAACCGUAGAAAUACGGCUUUUAUAGCAAUAUGACAGAGAGACAGGUGCUGCAUGGCUGUCGUCAGCUCGUGUGGUGACAUGUUGGGUUAAGUCCCGCAACGAGCGCAACCCUUGUCUUUAGUUGCCAGCAUUAAGUUGGGCACUCUAAAGAGACUGCCGUGGUUAACACGGA